UACGUAGGGUGCGAGCGUUGUCCGGAAUUACUGGGCGUAAAGGGCUCGUAGGCGGCCAACUAAGUCAGACGUGAAAUCCCUCGGCUUAACCGGGGAACUGCGUCUGAUACUGGAUGGCUAGAGGUUGGGAGAGGGAUGCGGAAUUCCAGGUGUAGCGGUGAAAUGCGUAGAUAUCUGGAGGAACACCGGUGGCGAAGGCGGCAUCCUGGACCAAUUCUGACGCUGAGGAGCGAAAGCCAGGGGAGCAAACGGG
rnacentral:rRNA from 1 species